GAUGAACGCUGGCGGCGUGCCUAAUACAUGCAAGUCGAGCGAACAGACGAGGAGCUUGCUCCUCUGACGUUAGCGGCGGACGGGUGAGUAACACGUGGAUAACCUACCUAUAAGACUGGGAUAACUUCGGGAAACCGGAGCUAAUACCGGAUAAUAUAUUGAACCGCAUGGUUCAAUAGUGAAAGACGGUUUUGCUGUCACUUAUAGAUGGAUCCGCGCCGCAUUAGCUAGUUGGUAAGGUAACGGCUUACCAAGGCGACGAUGCGUAGCCGACCUGAGAGGAUGAUCGGCCACACUGGAACUGAGACACGGUCCAGACUCCUACGGGAGGCAGCAGUGGGGAAUAUUCCGCAAUGGGCGAAAGCCUGACGGAGCAACGCCGCGUGAGUGAUGAAGGUCUUCGGAUCGUAAAACUCUGUUAUUAGGGAAGAACAAAUGUGUAAGUAACUAUGCACGUCUUGACGGUACCUAAUCAGAAAGCCACGGCUAACUACGUG
rnacentral:rRNA from 1 species